CCGGGCCUUGUACACACCGCCCGUCACACCAUGAGAGCUGGUAACACCCGAAGUCCGUGAGGUAACCGUAAGGAGCCAGCGGCCGAAGGUGGGAUUAGUGAUUGGGGUGAAGUCGUAACAAGGUAGCUGUAGGAGAACCUGCGGCUGGAUCACCUCCUUUCUAAGGAGA
rnacentral:rRNA from 1 species